rnacentral:tRNA from 1 species
GGGAUAGUAGCUUAGUCAGGUUCAAAGCAGCCAGCUCAUAACUGGUUCAUCGCGGGUUCAAAUCCUGCCUGUCCCACCA